rnacentral:rRNA from 1 species
GAUGAACGCUGGCGGCGUGCCUAACACAUGCAAGUCGAACGGAGAUGCGAUGUGAGCGAGAGGUGCUUGCACUGAUUAAUCUUUUCGUAUCUUAGUGGCGGACGGGUGAGUAACGCGUGGGUAACCUGCCUUAUACCGGGGGAUAACACUUAGAAAUAGGUGCUAAUACCGCAUAAGCGCACGGUGUCGCAUGACACAGUGUGAAAAACUCCGGUGGUAUAAGAUGGACCCGCGUCUGAUUAGCCAGUUGGCAGGGUAACGGCCUACCAAAGCGACGAUCAGUAGCCGGCCUGAGAGGGUGAACGGCCACAUUGGGACUGAGACACGGCCCAAACUCCUACGGGAGGCAGCAGUGGGGAAUAUUGCACAAUGGGGGAAACCCUGAUGCAGCGACGCCGCGUGAGUGAAGAAGUAUUUCGGUAUGUAAAGCUCUAUCAGCAGGGAAGAAGAAAUGACGGUACCUGACUAAGAAGCCCCGGCUAACUACGUGCCAGCAGCCGCGGUAAUACGUAGGGGGCAAGCGUUAUCCGGAUUUACUGGGUGUAAAGGGAGCGUAGACGGUGAAGCAAGUCUGAAGUGAAAGGUUGGGGCUCAACCCCGAAACUGCUUUGGAAACUGUUUAACUGGAGUACAGGAGAGGUAAGUGGAAUUCCUAGUGUAGCGGUGAAAUGCGUAGAUAUUAGGAGGAACACCAGUGGCGAAGGCGGCUUACUGGACUGU